rnacentral:rRNA from 1 species
AACGAACGCUGGCGGCAUGCCUAACACAUGCAAGUCGAACGAGACCUUCGGGUCUAGUGGCGCACGGGUGCGUAACGCGUAGGAACCUGCCCUUAGGUUCGGAAUAACUCCCCGAAAGGGGUGCUAAUACCGGAUAAUGUCUUCGGACCAAAGAUUUAUCGCCUUUGGAUGGGCCCGCGUUGGAUUAGCUAGUUGGUAGGGUAAAAGCCUACCAAGGCGACGAUCCAUAGCUGGUCUGAGAGGAUGAUCAGCCACACUGGGACUGAGACACGGCCCAGACUCCUACGGGAAGCAGCAGUGGGGAAUAUUGGACAAUGGGCGAAAGCCUGAUCCAGCAAUGCCGCGUGAGUGAUGAAGGCCUUAGGGUUGUAAAGCUCUUUUACCCGGGAUGAUAAUGACAGUACCGGGAGAAUAAGCUCCGGCUAACUCCGUG